AACGAACGCUGGCGGCAUGCCUAACACAUGCAAGUCGAACGAGACCUUCGGGUCUAGUGGCGCACGGGUGCGUAACGCGUGGGAACCUGCCCUUAGGUUCGGAAUAACUCCCCGAAAGGGGUGCUAAUACCGGAUAAUGUCUUCGGACCAAAGAUUUAUCGCCUUUGGAUGGGCCCGCGUUGGAUUAGCUAGUUGGUAGGGUAAAAGCCUACCAAGGCGACGAUCCAUAGCUGGUCUGAGAGGAUGAUCAGCCACACUGGGACUGAGACACGGCCCAGACUCCUACGGGAGGCAGCAGUGGGGAAUAUUGGACAAUGGGCUAAAGCCUGAUCCAGCAAUGCCGCGUGAGUGAUGAAGGCCUUAGGGUUGUAAAGCUCCUUUACCCGGGAUGAUAAUGACAGUACCGGGAGAAUAAGCUCCGGCUAACUCCGUG
rnacentral:rRNA from 1 species